AGGACGAACGCUGGCGGCGUGCUUAACACAUGCAAGUCGAACGGUGAAGCCCUUCGGGGUGGAUCAGUGGCGAACGGGUGAGUAACACGUGAGCAAUCUGCCCUUGACUCUGGGAUAGCUUCGGGAAACCGGAGCUAAUACCGGAUAUGACACACGAUCGCAUGAUCUGUGUGUGGAAAGAUUUAUUGGUCAGGGAUGAGCUCGCGGCCUAUCAGCUUGUUGGUGGGGUAAUGGCCUACCAAGGCGACGACGGGUA
rnacentral:rRNA from 1 species